UUCGCAGGUCCCCCGCGAUCUGCUAAACACAUCGCGCGCAGGUCCGGGUGGAACCGGGCCCGCCCUCCAUCGUGAGGGUGUCCCGGGCGCG
rfam:Synechococcus WH7803 complete genome sequence.